rnacentral:rRNA from 1 species
GACGAACGCUGGCGGCGUGCUUAACACAUGCAAGUCGAACGAAGAGCGAUGGAAGCUUGCUUCUAUCAAUCUUAGUGGCGAACGGGUGAGUAACGCGUAAUCAACCUGCCCUUCAGAGGGGGACAACAGUUGGAAACGACUGCUAAUACCGCAUACGAUCUGACCUCGGCAUCGAGGAUAGAUGAAAGGUGGCCUCUAUUUAUAAGCUAUCACUGAAGGAGGGGAUUGCGUCUGAUUAGCUAGUUGGAGGGGUAACGGCCCACCAAGGCGAUGAUCAGUAGCCGGUCUGAGAGGAUGAACGGCCACAUUGGGACUGAGACACGGCCCAGACUCCUACGGGAGGCAGCAGUGGGGAAUCUUCCGCUAUGGACGAAAGUCUGACGGAGCAACGCCGCGUGAGUGAUGACGGCCUUCGGGUUGUAAAGCUCUGUUAAUCGGGACGAAAGGCCUUCUUGCGAAUAGUUAGAAGGAUUGACGGUACCGGAAUAGAAAGCCACGGCUAACUACGUG